AUUGAACGCUGGCGGCAUGCUUUACACAUGCAAGUCGAACGGCAGCGCGGGCUUCGGCCUGGCGGCGAGUGGCGAACGGGUGAGUAAUACAUCGGAACGUGCCCAGUAGUGGGGGAUAGCUCGGCGAAAGCCGGAUUAAUACCGCAUACGACCUGAGGGUGAAAGCGGGGGAUCUUCGGACCUCGCGCUAUUGGAGCGGCCGAUGGCAGAUUAGCUAGUUGGUGGGGUAAAGGCCUACCAAGGCGACGAUCUGUAGCUGGUCUGAGAGGACGACCAGCCACAUUGGGACUGAGACACGGCCCAGACUCCUACGGGAGGCAGCAGUGGGGAAUUUUGGACAAUGGGCGAAAGCCUGAUCCAGCAAUGCCGCGUGUGUGAUGAAGGCCUUCGGGUUGUAAAGCACUUUUGGCGGGAACGAAAAGGACUGUGCCAAUACCACGGUUCGAUGACGGUACCCGCAGAAUAAGCACCGGCUAACUACGUG
rnacentral:rRNA from 1 species